UACGGGGGGAGCAAGCGUUGUUCGGAAUCACUGGGCGUAAAGGGCGCGUAGGCGGCCUGAUAAGUAGGGGGUGAAAUCCUGCGGCUUAACCGCAGGGCUGCCUUCUAAACUGUCAGGCUGGAGCACAGUAGAGGCAGGUGGAAUUCCCGGUGUAGCGGUGGAAUGCGUAGAGAUCGGGAAGAACAUCAGUGGCGAAGGCGGCCUGCUGGGCUGUUGCUGACGCUGAGACGCGAAAGCGUGGGGAGCAAACAGG
rnacentral:rRNA from 1 species